rnacentral:rRNA from 1 species
UGCGUAGGCGGUUCUUUGUGUCCGCUGUGAAAGCCCCGGGCUUAACCUGGGAAUGGCAGUGGAAACUAGAGGACUCAGAAUCUGGCAGAGGGGGGUGGAAUGCCACGUGUAGCAGUGAAAUGCGUAGAGAUGUGGCGGAACACCGAUGGCGAAGGCAGCCCCCUGGGCUGAGAUUGACGCUCAGGCACGAAAGCGUGGGGAGCAAACAGGAUUAGAUACCCUGGUAGUCCACGCCCUAAACGAUGAUCACUAGGUGUUGGGGAAGCGAUUUCCUAGUACCGCAGCUAACGCGUGAAGUGAUCCGCCUGGGGAGUACGGUCGCAAGAUUAAA